GCCUCUGUAGCUCAGUUGCAUGGUUAGAGCGCUGCUCCGGAAUCGCAGGGCUCUAGGUUCAAUUCCUACCAGAGGAU